rnacentral:rRNA from 1 species
CAAUAGCGUAUAUUUAAGUUGCUGCAGUUAAAAAGCUCGUAGUUGGAUUUCGGGUGGGAAUGGCCGGUCCGCCGUUUCGGUGUGCACUUGCUACGCCCACCUUGCUGCCGGGGACGUGCUCUUGAGUUCACGCUCGGGACACGGAGUCGGCGAGGUUACUUUGAGUAAAUUAGAGUGUUCAAAGCAGGCCUACGCUCUGAAUACAUUAGCAUGGAAUAACACGAUAGGACUCUGGCCUAUCUUGUUGGUUUGUAGGACCGGAGUAAUGAUUAAGAGGGACAGUCGGGGGCAUUCGUAUUUCAUUGUCAGAGGUGAAAUUCUUGGAUUUAUGAAAGACGAACUACUGCGAAAGCAUUUGCCAAGGAUGUUUUCAUUAA